UACACUCCUGCGGGAGGCAGCAGUAGGGAAUCUUCGGCAAUGGGGGCAACCCUGACCGAGCAACGCCGCGUGAGUGAAGAAGGUUUUCGGAUCGUAAAGCUCUGUUGUAAGUCAAGAACGAGUGUGAGAGUGGAAAGUUCACACUGUGACGGUAGCUUACCAGAAAGGGACGGCUAACUACGUGCCAGCAGCCGCGGUAAUACGUAGGUCCCGAGCGUUGUCCGGAUUUAUUGGGCGUAAAGCGAGCGCAGGCGGUUUGAUAAGUCUGAAGUUAAAGGCUGUGGCUCAACCAUAGUUCGCUUUGGAAACUGUCAAACUUGAGUGCAGAAGGGGAGAGUGGAAUUCCAUGUGUAGCGGUGAAAUGCGUAGAUAUAUGGAGGAACACCGGUGGCGAAAGCGGCUCUCUGGUCUGUAACUGACGCUGAGGCUCGAAAGCGUGGGGAGCGAACAGGAUUAGAAACCCCAGUAGUCCC
rnacentral:rRNA from 1 species